AUUGAACGCUGGCGGCAGGCCUAACACAUGCAAGUCGAGCGGAUGAAGGGAGCUUGCUCCUGGAUUCAGCGGCGGACGGGUGAGUAAUGCCUAGGAAUCUGCCUGGUAGUGGGGGAUAACGUCCGGAAACGGGCGCUGAUACCGCAUACGUCCUGAGGGAGAAAGUGGGGGAUCUUCGGACCUCACGCUAUCAGAUGAGCCUAGGUCGGAUUAGCUAGUUGGUGGGGUAAAGGCCUACCAAGGCGACGAUCCGUAACUGGUCUGAGAGGAGGAUCAGUCACACUGGAACUGAGACACGGUCCAGACUCCUACGGGAGGCAGCAGUGGGGAAUAUUGGACAAUGGGCGAAAGCCUGAUCCAGCCAUGCCGCGUGUGUGAAGAAGGUCUUCGGAUUGUAAAGCACUUUAAGUUGGGAGGAAGGGCAGUAAGUUAAUACCUUGCUGUUUUGACGUUACCAACAGAAUAAGCACCGGCUAACUUCGUG
rnacentral:rRNA from 1 species